UCAUGGAUCUCCGUCACAUGGAGGUGGUGGAAGUUACAAUCCAACCCCAUCAACUCCCCCUGGUGGUGGAAGCUAUGAUCCAACUCCAUCACCACCCUCAGGUGGUGGUGGAAGUUACAAUCCAACCCCAUCAACUCCCCCUAGUGGUGGAAGCUAUGAUCCAACUCCAUCACCACCCUCAGAUGGAGGUGAAAAUUGCAAUCCAACCCCAUCAACUCCUCCCGGUGGUGGAAGCUAUGAUCCAACUCCAUCACCACCCUCAAGUGGUGGUGGUGGAAGUUACAAUCCAACCCCAUUAACUCCCCCUGGUGGUGGAAGCUAUGAUACAACUCCAUCACCACCCUUAGGUGGAGGUGGAAGUUACAAUCCAACCCCAUCAACUCCUCCAGGUGGUGGAAGCUAUGAUCCAACUCCAUCACCACCCUCAGGUGAUGGUGGUGGUGGAAGUUACAAUCCAACUCCAUCAACUCCCCCAGGUGGUGGAAGCUAUGAUCCAACCCCAUCACCACCCACAAAUGGUGGAAGUUACAAUCCAACCCCAUCAACUCCUCCUGGUGGUGGAAGCUAUGAUCCAACUCCAUCACCACCCUCGGGUGGUGGAAGUUACAAUCCAACUCCAUCAACUCCCCCAGGUGGUGGAAGCUAUGAUCCAACCCCAUCACCACCCACAAAUGGUGGAAGUUACAAUCCAACCCCAUCAACUCCUCCUGGUGGUGGAAGCUAUGAUCCAACUCCAUCACCACCCUCGGGUGGUGGAAGUUACAAUCCAACUCCAUCAACUCCCCCAGGUGGUGGAAGCUAUGAUCCAACCCCAUCACCACCCACAGAUGGUGGAAGUUAUAAUCCAACUCCAUCACCACCCUCAGGUAGCAACUGUGGAACACCACCACAAGACCCCUCUACUCCAACACCCUCAGUCCCAACAACACCAUCAACCCCAUCAAACCCUCCCUUGGGAGGAGGUGGGUACUAUAACUCACCACCAACUUAUGGAGGUGGUAGCCCCCCAACACCAAUCACUGUGAGCCCACCUUCAACCCCAAUUGAUCCAGGCACCCCCACUAUCCC
rnacentral:lncRNA from 1 species